GUGUCGUGAGAUGUUGGUUAAGUCCGUACGAGCGCAACCCUGUCCUUAGUUACCAGCACGUUAUGGUGGGCGACUCUAAGGAGACUGCCGGUGACAAACCGGAGGAAGGUGGGGAUGACGUCAAGUCAUCAUGGCCCUUACGGCCUGGGCUACACACGUGCUACAAUGGUCGGUACAAAGGGUUGCCAAGCCGCGAGGUGGAGCUAAUCCCAUAAAACCGAUCGUAGUCCGGAUCGCAGUCUGCAACUCGACUGCGUGAAGUCGGAAUCGCUAGUAAUCGUGAAUCAGAAUGUCACGGUGAAUACGUUCCCGGGCCUU
rnacentral:rRNA from 1 species